rnacentral:lncRNA from 1 species
GGGAUGGCCAUGGUGCUGACCGUGUCUGAGAUCCUUGAGGCCUGUCCACAAUGCUCAUGUCCCCACUUCUUUCCUCAGGCAAGGAAACUCUAUAUCAACCUUCGAAAGUUGCUUGUGGGCACACUGUGAUGUGGAAUGAAGCAGGAGAGAACAACCCUCUGAGAGAACCGGACAGCACCCUCCAUGGUCUCCAUGACUUUGACCUCGCUUAAACCACUCUGAGGUCUGACAGGCCUGGAGGUUUAGAGAUUUGGGCCUCAGACUGUGGCUUCUAUGAUGGACACCAUCCAAGGAAUCACCCACAUGACUUCACUGAAGGGAGACCGAGCUAUGUAGGGCAGGAUCCCACCAGGAAAAAGCAAACUUCUCCAAACAAUUCUCACAGACCGAACUGAAUACAGGAAGUUGGUUGUACUGGAGCGGGGACUUCUGGGAAGUCAAGAGAGGCGAAGAAACAUCCAGAUGUCUGCCAGAGCAUCGAGCCUCCAUGACCUCAGGCAGUCGGGGACAUGCUUACAUCCCUGGAAACAGUUAUUGAAGGAGAAAGGGAAAUGGAGAGGGGGUAAGGGAGAAGGAGAGGGAGAGAAAGGUAGAGGGAGGUGGAGAGAGAGGGAGAGAAAGAAGCGAGAAAGAGGAAGAAGAAGGAGAAGCAGACAGGGACAGAGAGGGAGGGGGAGAGAGGGGAGAGGGUAUCUUGCCUGCUGUCACUCUCAUUGGCCCUCAAGAGGCAAGAGGCCAAGAAAGGCAGGUGCUGUGGUCUGGAUGUUUUUGGCCUCUCCAAAAUGCAAGUUGAUAUUUAAUUUUAAAUGCAUCAGUAUUGGGAGUUGUGGCCUCCGAGAGUCCACAGAGUCCCAGGACUUUGCCCACAAGGCAGAUUAGGUGUCUUUAUAAAAAGGUUUGAUGGAGGAGGCCCUUCCUUUCCUGCUUCCACUCUUGGCCAUGUGAGGCCACAGCAUCGG